rnacentral:rRNA from 1 species
UACGUAGGGUGCAAGCGUUGUCCGGAAUUAUUGGGCGUAAAGAGCUCGUAGGCGGCUUGUCGCGUCGGCUGUGAAAACCUGGGGCUCAACCCCGGGCCUGCAGCCGAUACGGGCAAGCUAGAGUUCGGUAGGGGGGACUGGAAUUCCUGGUGUAGCGGUGAAAUGCGCAGAUAUCAGGAGGAACACCGGUGGCGAAGGCGGGUCUCUGGGCCGAAACUGACGCUGAGGAGCGAAAGCGUGGGGAGCGAACAGG